rnacentral:rRNA from 1 species
UCAUAUGCUUGUCCCAAAGAUUAAGCCAUGCAUGCAUAGAUAAUUUUGUAUCUCUCAGAAAUCUGCGAACGGCUCCGUAUAUCUGUUAUAACUCGUCGCGCCCUAAGAAAGGUUUGUAAGCGGAUAUGUAUCGGUAAUUCUGACAGUAAUACGUGUACCCGCAAGGCGCCCUGGCCCGUGGUUCCUUUAGAGAUCCGGGCAUAACGGGGCGGUCUCCAGAACUACUGAGCGCGAGUCGUUUGGGAAAAAGCUGGAGGGUUUAUUCUCCUCACCUGGCACGGGGGGAGCCGACGGAUUUCAGACCUAUCAACUAAAGGCCGGUGCAGUGCACCGGCCUGGUUUUAACGGGUACAGAGGAUCAGGGUUCGAUCCUGGAGAGGUAGCCUGAGAGAUCGCUACUACUUCUAAGGAAGGCAGCAGGCGCGCAACGUUCCCAAUGGGGGGGUUAAAGGUUCCCUGAGGACGUGACGGAAUAUAUCGAUGCCCCGGCCUUUAAGGCCCGGGCAAUUGAAAUGGGGGGAAAUUAAAUACUACUACCGAGUAACAAUUGGAG